rnacentral:rRNA from 1 species
AUGCUGGCGGCGUGCCUAACACAUGCAAGUCGAGCGGCAGCGAGUUUUACACUGAAUUCUGGAAGCUUCUGGGUAAUAUAGAAGAUUUAUUCAAGAAUUUUGUGUAAAAUGUCGGCGAGCGGCGGACGGCUGAGUAACGCGUAGGAAUUUACCUCAAAGUGAGGAAUAACUGCCCGAAAGGGUAGCUAAUGCCGCAUAUGGUCUUCGGAUUAAAGCCUUCGGGCGCUUUGGGAGAAGCCUGCGUUGGAUUGGGUAGUUGGUAGGGUAAUGGCCUACCAAGCCGACGAUCCAUAGCUGGUCUGAGAGGAUGAUCAGCCAGACUGGAACUGAGACACGGUCCAGACUCCUACGGGAGGCAGCAGUGAGGAAUCUUCCACAAUGGGCGAAAGCCUGAUGGAGCAACGCCGCGUGAAGGAUGAAGGCCUUCGGGUUGUAAACUUCUUUUAUGAGUGAAGAAUAUGACGGUAACUCAUGAAUAAGCACCGGCUAACUACGUGCCAGCAGCCGCGGUCAUACGUAGGGUGCGAGCAUUAUCCGGAGUGACUGGGCGUAAAGAGUUGCGUAGGCGGUUUAAUAAGUGAAUAGUGAAACCUGGUGGCUCAACCAUACAGACUAUUAUUCAAACUGUUAAACUCGAGAAUGGUAGAGGUAACUGGAAUUUCUAGUGUAGGAGUGAAAUCCGUAGAUAUUAGAAGGAACACCGAUGGCGUAGGCAGGUUACUGGGCCAUUUCUGACGCUAAGGCACGAAAGCGUGGGGAGCGAACCGGAUUAGAUACCCGGGUAGUCCACGCCGUAAACGAUGGAUACUAGCUGUUGGAGGUAUCGACCCCUUCAGUAGCGAAGCUAACGCGUUAAGUAUCCCGCCUGUGGAGUACGGCCGCAAGGCUAAAACAUAAAGGAAUUGACGGGGACCCGCA